AGCAGCCGCGGUAAUUCCAGCUCCAAUAGCGUAUAUUAAAGUUGUUGCAGUUAAAAAGCUCGUAGUUGAAUUUCGGGAUCAAUACGUCGGUCGUGCUUCGGUACGUACUGGCGUAAUUGAUUUCUCCCUUCUGACGAACCAUGAUGUCAUUAACUUGGUGUCAUGGGAAAUCAGGACUGUUACUUUGAAAAAAUUAGAGUGUUUAAAGCAGGCUCACGCUUGAAUACAUUAGCAUGGAAUAAUGAAAUAGGACGUUCGAUCCUAUUUUGUUGGUUUUUAGGAUCAACGUAAUGAUUAAUAGGGAUAGUUGGGGGCAUUAGUAUUCAAUUGUCAGAGGUGAAAUUCUUGGAUUUAUUGAAGACUAACUACUGCGAAAGCAUUUGCCAAGGAUGUUUUCAUUAAUCAAGAACGAAAGUUAGGGGAUCGAAGACGGUCAGAUACCGUCGUAGUCUUAACCAUAAACUAAUGCCGACUAGGGAUCGGAUGAUGUUAAUUUUUAAUUGUACUCAUUCGGCGCCUU
rnacentral:rRNA from 1 species